ACCGUUGAAAUUUCGAAUAGGUGGUGUCCUUUCGCUCACGGAGUUGAGAGCUUCCCCUCCAUCCGAUUAAAUUUCCAUUUGAGCGGGUGGUUGUAGGGCACUGUUUGGGUCUUCACUGUGAAGGCACUGUUAGGGCACUAUAGCUGGUUGUACUGCUCAACUUCAAGUAGGUGAUGAUGUACCAUUGGAGCAAGCUUUGGAAGUUGAGGAAGACCCAACCCCUAGUGCUUAUGAUUUCU